CGCAGGCGGCCCGAGGUGACAGGACUCGAGGGCCCGGCGCGGGGACAGCGGCACGGGUGUGUCAGCCGAGAUCGGACUGCAUGACAUAGAGCGUUGGCGCUGAAAAAGAUUGCUUUUCACUGGCGGGGAAGCGAACGGGACCGAUCAGCGGUUGCCUUUUCAGGACUGUAGGAAGCGCGGCGCCGGCCCGCGGGGCUGCGCAGUGGGAGAGGCGGGGAAGGAGGUCCGCAGCAGCCGCCGGCGCCCUUCUGAAGAGAAAACCUCAGAAAGGUGACUUCAUGUGUCUGCCCCCCUUAAAUGUGAAAUGCAGAACACUGGCACAGUACCGCUUGAAUCCAAAGGAAUAACACUUCUAGUGGAAGAAUUUCCAUAACCUGGCAUUUGAACCAGGAAGGCCUUUUGAGGAUGGAUUCUUUCCAAGGACAUUCAGAUCACCUCAGAAAAAUAUUCACUUGGUAAACUUUGAAAGAGACAGAUUUCUGAUAUCUUGGAUGAAAUCUAUGGAAAAAAAACAGGACAUCCAGGACAUCCUAUCUCAGAUACACCAUCGAAGAAUAAAUAUCUUUAGGAGGGAAAUGCACUGACUAUUUGACAAGUUAAAAGUAUGUGUACCUUGUAUGGUUAUGUAAUGACAAAGGUGUUUCUUGGUCCCCCACAUGCAAAAGAAGUACUUAUUUUCUCAGUCUAGUCAGUACUUAAUGGCAAAAUCAGUCUAUAUAUACCCAGACUAAACUUAUUAAAAACUGUCCUGUAACACACAGCAUUGAUUUAUUAAUAUUAAACAACUUAGAAGAAAAACAUCAUGGUAAAUCAGUAUUACCAUCAAAUAAUCUUUUAAUAUUAUUGAAUAUGUUCCACCUGUAGUACUGCUAGAAAAGAAGCAUCAUUCCUGACUACAAAGAGCUUACAACCAUUAUGAUUAUUUCUCUAUCUUCCUUGAAACUAUUCAUGGUUUGCAUUUUUUUCUUAUCAAGCCAUUUGGAUGAAGUGUAAGAACCUUACCUUAAUUUUGAGAAACUCAUUGUUUUCAUAUAAAUUAAAAUGUAUUGAUGAUAACAGGAUUGCAUGGUUGAACAUUUUCUAAGAAAACUUUUAAAUUGAGCAUUAGCUGGUCUCUGAAGAUUUCAUCCAAUAAUGCCUUUAGAAAGUGAAAUAUUUCAUGAAGCUUCCUCUUUUUAAAAGGUCUCUUAAUAUGUGCUCUUAGAAAUGACAUACAACAUGUCACUAUGACUGGACUGGCAAAAUAAGUGCUGGGGCGAAUGCAGCAAAGAUCACUUUUGUCAUCAGGUAGCUGCAUAGAGUGCAUGCAUGUAACUACCAAAAAUCAGGUAGCUGUUUCACCCUUCUAGAGGCAAAGAAACAUAGUCUUCCAAAAUUUACUUGUAUAAAACCAAAAUGAAAUCAUAAAUGUGAAAAAAAUCUCCUUCCUUUGAAGUUAUACUAUAUCUGGGUCAAAGGAAAUUUAAGGAACUUUAUUGUUUCCUAGAAAAGCUAAAGCGAACCUGUGGAAUUUCAAGAGGGCAUGCCUAUAACAAUAUUAGACAGCUUUACAGGUUGGCCAUAAAAAUCUGGAAACAGCAAAUAUACCUAAUAAAUGGUUUGUUGUUAUUAC